AUUGAACGCUGGCGGCAGGCCUAACACAUGCAAGUCGAGCGAGCGGCGGACGGGUGAGUAAUGUCUGGGAAACUGCCUGAUGGAGGGGGAUAACUACUGGAAACGGUAGCUAAUACCGCAUACCAUCAGAUGUGCCCAGAUGGGAUUAGCUGGUAGGUGGGGUAACGGCUCACCUAGGCGACGAUCCCUAGCUGGUCUGCGAGGAUGACCAGCCACACUGGAACUGAGAAACGGUACAGAAACCUACGGGAGGCAGCAGUGGGGAAUAUUGCAAAAUGGGCGAAAGCCUGAUGCAGCCAUGCCGCGUGUGUGAAGAAGGCCUUCGGGUUGUAAAGCACUUUCAGCGGGGAGGCGUUACCCGCAGAAGAAGCACCGGCUAACUCCGAGCCAGCAGACGCGGUAAUAC
rnacentral:rRNA from 1 species